CAACCCUCAAGCUCUGCUUGGUGUUGGGGCGUCUGCAGCUCCAGCUGCAGGCCCUGAAAAUCAGUGGCGGGCUCGCUAUAACUCCGAGCGUAGUAAUUUCUCUCGCUUAGGAAGUGUAGCGGCACCCAGCCGUUAAACCCCCCAAUUUUCUGAAUG
rnacentral:misc_RNA from 1 species